UGGGCUGUGGCUCAGUAGUGGAGCGCUUGUCUAGCAUGUGUGAGGGACUGGGUUCGAUUCUCAGCACCACAU
rnacentral:tRNA from 1 species